CGCACAAGCGGUGGAGCAUGUGGUUUAAUUCGAUGCAACGCGAAGAACCUUACCUGGUCUUGACAUCCACAGAACUUAGCAGAGAUGCUUUGGUGCCUUCGGGAACUGUGAGACAGGUGCUGCAUGGCUGUCGUCAGCUCGUGUUGUGAAAUGUUGGGUUAAGUCCCGCAACGAGCGCAACCCUUAUCCUUUGUUGCCAGCGGUUCGGCCGGGAACUCAAAGGAGACUGCCAGUGAUAAACUGGAGGAAGGUGGGGAUGACGUCAAGUCAUCAUGGCCCUUA
rnacentral:rRNA from 1 species